GGAGGGCUAGACCUAAUUGGUAAGGCGGCGGUCUUGAAAACCGCUGGGCUUAUAACCCUUGGGAGUUCGAGUCUCCCGCCCUCCGCCA
rnacentral:tRNA from 1 species